rnacentral:tRNA from 1 species
GGGGAUGUGGCUUAUUGGUAGAGGUCUUGCUUUAUAUGCAAAACACUCUGGGUUCAAUCCCCAGCCCCA